rnacentral:hammerhead_ribozyme from 1 species
AUCCAGCUGACGAGUCCCGAGUGAGGCGAAAUGCGCAUCAAACUGGAU